UAUCUAUGCACGCACCACAUGAAAUUCAUUCCGCUCUCCUUCCGGCUAUUUAGUUUCUCCUAGUGAAAACAGAAUAUGAUGUCACAUCAUCUCAUUGGUAGGUAAGGAUGAGACUGGAAUCUUUGAAAUUAGCUCCAAAUAAGGUGACAGAACUCAGUAAAGAACUGCAUACUGUUAUAAAAUGAUGUGUUCUUGAUGAUGAUUGUAAUAUGGUCAUCAUGUCCAUCUUAUAGUGGUCUGUGAAAAGGAUACAUGUACAUGUGCUCUGUUGAUGGUUGUAUUUCUUACAAGUUUUCUCCAGUUGAAGAGGAGUCUUCAAGCUACCAUGACU